rnacentral:rRNA from 1 species
CCUUGACAUACUAAGAACUUUCCAGAGAUGGAUUGGUGCCUUCGGGAACUUAGAUACAGGUGCUGCAUGGCUGUCGUCAGCUCGUGUCGUGAGAUGUUGGGUUAAGUCCCGNAACGAGCGCAACCCUUUUCCUAUUUGCCAGCGGGUCAUGCCGGGAACUUUAAGGAUACUGCCAGUGACAAACUGGAGGAAGGCGGGGACGACGUCAAGUCAUCAUGGCCCUUACGGCCAGGGCUACACACGUGCUACAAUGGUCGGUACAAAGGGUUGCUACCUCGCGAGAGGAUGCUAAUCUCAAAAAGCCGAUCGUAGUCCGGAUCGCAGUCUGCAACUCGACUGCGUGAAGUCGGAAUCGCUAGUAAUCGCGGAUCAGAAUGCCGCGGUCGAAUACGUUCCCGGGCCUUGUACACACCGCCCGUCACACCAUGGGAGUUUGUUGCACCAGAAGUAGGUAGUCUAACCGCAAGGAGGACGCUUACCACGGUGUGGCCGAUGACUGGGGUGAAGUCGUAACAAGGUAGGCGUAGAUGA